rnacentral:rRNA from 1 species
UACGGAGGGUGCACGCGUUGUUCUGAAUUACUGGGCGUAAAGCGCGUGUAGGCGGUCGCUUAAGUCUGAUGUGAAAGCCCGGGGCUCACCCCCGGAAGAGCAUUGGAAACUGGGCGACUAGAGUGCCGGAGAGGAGAGUGGAAUUCCCGGUGUAGCGGGGAAAUGCGUAGAUAUCAGGAGGAACACCGGUGGCGAAGGCGGCUCUCUGGACGGAUACUGACGCUGAGACGCGAAAGCGUGGGGAGCAAACAGG